ACCUGGAGCUAAACUGUCAGGAAAAGGUUUGUGUUUCCUCCUAGGCUAUUUAAGCUUGAGUAAAAGUAAUUUUCGUUUGUCAUAUACUUUGUAGUCAUCUAUAGUAGCAAAAUUAAUGAGAAAUCCCAUGUAAUUACUUCACGUGGCUUUGAGGAUCACAAAGAAAUCAUUUCUACAAGGCAAUGAAACAGUUCAAUUGCUUUGCUGUACAGGUGGCUCCAAGAUGAUGUAAGGGUUGCUGAAACUUCUCAAGAUUGUAAGUUUCUUCACCUGUGAUAGAUACAGACUAGCAGGAUUUAAGCAGUGGCAGCCCAGGUACCCCUUCUGUGUUGAGUUGACAAACAAGACAUUUGUACUUCACAAGCUGUUCUGAGCUGAUCACAAGGAUGGCACCAUUGCUCAGAAACAAAGUUAUCAAAGAAAAAAAUCUGAGUAUUAUCCUUCUAGUCUUUGAAAACUUCACUUGAAACAGAGGAGCUGAUACCAGAGUGACUUGGAACCUUGGAUGAAGUCAAUGUUUCUAGUCCAACCUAAGGUGAACAGCUGGAGGCCAAGCUAUUCAUUUUUGCUACAUAACAGUGGCUAUUCUAUGGGAUGUUUUGCAUUUGCAUGCAGCUGGGUCCUUGCAAAUGUUUCUAUUUGGAGUUUGAGAACCAAGAACAAGUAGAAGUGCAACUCUUACUAACUGGAGUUUUACUAACUGGAGUGCAGUGUUCAGCAUAUGGCUCUCUGAAAUGAUUUGGUGUAAUAUUUAAGUGCAUUAUUAAGCUUAAACUCCUAGAUGAGAUGACAUUUUCCUGUCUACAAU